rnacentral:lncRNA from 1 species
ACCUGUUUUACCUGACGUUUUAUGUAUACAAGAGACAUGGUUAGUCCCUCACUUACAGUUUGUAGUCCCGGGUUACACGUCAGUACGGAAAGAUAGGAGGGAAGGGCAUGGGGGUGGAUGUUGCACCUUUGUGAAAGAGGGUCUGCCAUACAGGGAAUUAAUAGUGGGUGAUGAUAGUGAGUGUGUGGCGGUGGAAAUGUGGUGGACAAGAGGGGAUAGUGUCAUAAUAGUUAAUUUUUACAAUCCCUGUAAUGACCUAACAGUGGAGUAUCUGGAAAGAGUGGUGCAGAGAGAGGGUAAAAGGGUGGUGUGGUGUGGGGAUUUCAACGCACAUAACUCUCUGUGGGGUUGUGAUGUCACAAAUAGGAAUGGUGAAGUUUUAGAGGAGUUCAUGGACAAUGAGACACUUGUAUGCCUAAAUGAUGGGCGAGGCACCAGAGUGAAUGUUAGAACUGGAGCACUAUCAGCUCUGGAUCUCACAUGUGUAUCCAGUACAUUAGCCGGGUUAAGUGAGUGGGAUAUACUGGAGCAUUCCACUAUAGGAAGUGAUCACUUCCCUUUAAUUUGCAAAAUAGCUGUAGAAGUAAACAGAGAGGUGAAUUGGUGUCCGGGGAAGUGGCAUUGGAAAGAGGCAGACUGGGAAUUGUUUAAUGAAGUUUGUGAAACCAGGGUGGGCCAGGUACAGAUCACAGGAGAGGUCAAUGACAUGGCAAGAAGCCUAUCUGAUGUGUUUUUGACUGCAACUGCAGCUGCAGUACCCAGAUCCCAAGGGAGAGGUAGGAGGAAGAUAGUACCAUGGUGGACCAAGGAGUGUACUGAAGCAAUCCAAACACGCAAUAAAGCAUUUAGGGUGUUGCGAAUUACGCUCAACCCUGAGAAAGUGGUGGAAUAUCAGAAAGCAAGGGCCAAGGCUAGGAAAGUUAUUAAAGAUGCAAAAAGGAAAUGUUGGAGGGAAUACUGCAGUCAACUUGGAACAUAUGUCCAGAUAGAACAGGCGUGGGGUAUGGUUAAAAAGAUCAUGGGGGUAUUUAGAGGGAGAUCUAUUCCUGUUUUGGUUGAGGGAAAUAGUGUGGCAAGCUCAGCAAAAGAUAAGGCAGAGCUAUUGAAGACUGCAUUUGCCAAAGCUCAUAGCACAGAUAACCUGGAAGAACCGUUGGUGGAGCGGAGACAAGCAACCCUGAGAGAGUGGGGAAAUGUAUGUGAAAGGCAAACAGAUUGCAACAGCAUUAUGGAUAGGGAUAUCACAUUAUUUGAGCUUAAAUGUGCCCUCAUCAAUACCUCCAAUACUGCGCCAGGUCAAGAUGAAGUGUGCUACAUAAUGUUGCAGCAUGUAUCUAAUGAGGUGCUUAAAAAGGUGGUGGAAGUAUUUAAUAGAAUAUGGUCAGAAGGAAAGGUGCCA